rnacentral:rRNA from 1 species
UGGUUCAGGACGAACGCUGGCGGCGUGCCUAAUACAUGCAAGUCGAACGGCUUUUCUAUGGAAGCUUGCUUCCACUGAGAAGAUAGUGGCGAACGGGUGAGUAACACGUGGGUAACCCGCCCAUAAGAGGGGGGAUAACAUCCGGAAACGGGUGCUAAUACCGCAUAGUUUUCUUGAUCGCAUGAUUGAGAAAGGAAAGACGGCCUUUGUGCUGUCGCUUAUGGAUGGACCCGCGGCGUAUUAGUUAGUUGGUGAGGUAAUGGCUCACCAAGACGAUGAUACGUAGCCGACCUGAGAGGGUGAUCGGCCACAUUGGGACUGAGACACGGCCCAAACUCCUACGGGAGGCAGCAGUAGGGAAUCUUCCGCAAUGGACGAAAGUCUGACGGAGCAACGCCGCGUGAGUGAAAGAAGGUUUUCGGAUCGUAAAACUCUGUUGUCAGAGAAGAACAAGUUGGAGAGUAACUGCUCCAGCCUUGACGGUAUCUGACCAGAAAGCCACGGCUAACUACGUGCCAGCCGCGGC